GGAGGUGACUCUCUCAGGAGGUUGAAUAGGGUUAGAAAGACGGCAUGACUAUAUCUCUAAUGUAGACCUAAAGUGCUUCCUAGAGCUAGGGACCAGGAUUCUAAAUGAGACCUGAGGGAAUGGAGCUGUUGUUGACAAGAGCUGUUAGACAAACAGGACAUGGAGGAGGAGUGGUCAUGCAUACCUCAAUGGGACAAAGUAUCUCCUCUGAGACUUCAGAAAAUCCUUUUCUUCUGGAGCCACUCUGUUCUGGAUUACCCUGAGAUUUUAAUGAGAUAAAGUCUAGAGAUGUAUAUAACUUUUCUGCAUCAUUUUGGAAUUUUAAUGAGAUGAAACGAGACCCAGAGACACCUGUUCUAGACCACUUUGGGAUCUUAAUGAGGAUGCAAACAGGUUGAAGACAAGAGCUCUCUUUAAUGGAACCUGAACAGUGCCUAACUCCUGUAGAUAUUCACUGAAUGUUAAAUAACAACAGUGAUCAUGUAAUAAUGAUGCCCAAUUCACUUGGGAGAGAAUACCAAAUAGCUUGGAAUUUUCCUGUUACUGCCAGCAUGGCCUGAGAGCAUCCUGAGAGAGGUCAAAAGUCCGUCUGACUCACCUGUGCUGAGUGACUUGAAUGCCAUCUAAUCUAACUUCAAGGUCACAGUGUUUGGACACCGCAUGAACAUGCCAAUUUCCUGUGUUGUAAUAUUUUUAUGCACUUUAAGAAGACCACCAGAAACAGCAGAGUGAGUGAAUGACUGAGGCGCAUAUUGGACAAAAAUCACUUAUCCAAGACCACGUUACUACAACCCCAGGGCACAGAAGCUAAGUCUUCCUAUUGUACUGAACUCAGUUGACUGGAAUUUGUUCAGGAAAGCAUGAAGUCAAAUGGAAGCUAGUCCGUGACUGGAUUCAUCUUUUGGUAAAAAACGAAGAGGAGACCCCAUAUCCUGGAGGUUCUUGCUUAACCCUGUCCCUAAUAAGACCUAACUUUAUGAGUCUUCUCCUUAGAGGCAGUCCUAGGGUAAGAGUGAUUAUUCCUGUGAGCCUUGUAGGUACUUUCGAAUCAAGGAAAUUAGUAGUUGAUUGCUAAUUAAUUCAGUAUUUAAUGAAUUUAAGUACCUAGGCAAUGAGGCCACAAUAGCAAAUAAGACACAGACCUGUUUUCAAAAAGUAGCCUGUAAAUAAGAUAUUUUUUUCUGCCAUGGUGGCAAAGGCAUGACUAUGGUGAUGAACAUUCAUAGGCUCACCUUCUAGCUCUGUUGUAUGUUAACUGUGUGAACUUGGGUCAAGUUAUGAAAACUCUAAGAACUCUCAAAACUCCUGAUCUGUUUUAACAUGAAAGUAAAGAUAUCUAAUUGAAUUGUUGUGAAACUUAAAUGUAAUGUGACAUCCAAAGAAUGUAGCCCAAAGUUGGAUUUCAGUAAGUGAUAAAUAGAAGUAUUUAAACAUGGGUAUGGUAUGUUCUGUAACAGAAGAAUGUCUAUGUGCUGGGGAUACCUAGAGACAGUGAAAAUUCUGUCUGGCCUGCGAAUUAU
rnacentral:lncRNA from 1 species